rnacentral:lncRNA from 1 species
CUAUCACAUUAUUUGGAUCCAAAUUUUAUUAAAUUAAAAUAUAUUAAUAUAUUAACUCCACUUAUUUGGAGUGAUCAAUCCCAUCUUGACUCAUGCACCAACUUGACAAGUACUUGAUUGUAGUCAGAAAUCUUUCAUCACUGAAUUAGAAAUUUAGAUAAUCCAGUAUCAGAGUAUAGAAAGUUGCUGGCAAGUCAUUGUGGUGAUC